AACUGAUACUACCUGCGGGAACCUGCGGAAGGAUCAUUAACGCGCCGUGGAGGUUGCCUUUAAACAGGUCUCACCUUCCACCUGGCCACCCUUGUUUAUCUUUAACCUGUUGCUUUGGUGGGCCCGCUGCAAGGCCGCUGGAGAAUUUAAAAGUUUUCUGGCCCGUGCCCACCAAAGUCCUAGUGAACUCUUUGUUAAUUUUCUGCUGUCUGAGCAUUAAAAGAAACAAUUUUUAAAACU
rnacentral:misc_RNA from 1 species